CAGCCGCCGCGGGAAUACGAAGGGUGCAAGCGUUACUCGGAAUUACUGGGUGUAAAGCGUGCGUAGGUGGUGGUUUAAGUCCGUUGUGAAAGCCCUGGGCUCAACCUGGGAAUUGCAGUGGAUACUGGGUCACUAGAGUGUGGUAGAGGAUAGUGGAAUUUCCGGUGUAGCAGUGAAAUGCGUAGAGAUCGGAAGGAACAUCUGUGGCGAAGGCGACUAUCUGGGCCAACACUGACACUGAGGCACGAAAGCGUGGGGAGCAAACAGGAUUAGAUACCCGUGUAGUCCCUGUCUCUUAUAC
rnacentral:rRNA from 1 species